ACUGCUCAGUAACACGUGGACAACCUGCCCAAAGGUCCGGGAUAACCCCGGGAAACUGGGGAUAAUACCGGAUAAAUCACAAGUACUGGAAGGUUUUGUGGUUGAAACUUCCGGGGCCUUUGGAUGGGUCUGCGGCGGAUUAGGUUGUUGCCGGUGUAACGUACCGUCAAGCCUGUAAUCCGUACGGGUUGUGGGAGCAAGAGCCCGGAGAUGGAUUCUGAGGCACGAAUCCAGGCCCUACGGGGCGCAGCAGGCGCGAAAACUCUACAAUGCAGGCAACUGCGAUAGGGGAACAUCGAGUGAUACUCAUAUUGGGUGUCUGUCCACCCGUCUAAAAAACGGGUGUUAGCAAGGGCCGGGCAAGACCGGUGCCAGCCGCCGCGGUAAUACCGGCGGCUCGAGUGGUGGCCGAUAUUAUUGAGUCUAAAGGGUCCGUAGCCGGCUUUGCAAGUCUUUUGGGAAAUCCAGCGGCUUAACCGUUGGUCGUCCGGGAGAUACUACAUUGCUUGGGACUGGGAGAGGUAGGAGGUACUCAGGGGGUAGGAGUGAAAUCCUGUAAUCCUUUGGGGACCACCGGUGGCGAAGGCGUCCUACCAGAACAGGUCCGACGGUGAGGGACGAAAGCUAGGGGCACGAACCGGAUUAGAUACCCGGGUAGUCCUAGCCGUAAACGAUGCUCGCUAGGUGUCACAACAAUCGUGAAUUGUUGUGGUGCCGUAGGGAAGCCGUGAAGCGAGCCACUUGGGAAGUACGACCGCAAGGUUGAAACUUAAAGGAAUUGGCGGGGGAGCAC
rnacentral:rRNA from 1 species